CUCGUUACUCAGCCGCCCCAGGCCCCGUUUCGCCACCAGCCCCCUCAGCGCCGCUCCCCCGGUGCGCGCGGGCCUGGCCCCGACCCCUCCCCGUGCCGCCGCUCCCGUCCCCGCUAGGCCGAGCGGGGCCCGCCGCCGCCUUCACCCAGCCCGGCCCCCUGCGAGCCGCCGCCGCCCGGUGUGUGCGGGGCCCGGCCGCUGCCGGCUUCUGCCCCCCGGCGGGGCCAUGGCCGCGAGCGCCAAGCGGAAGCAGGAGGAGAAGCACCUGAAGCUGCUGCGGGAGAUGAGCAGCCUCCCGCCCAACCGCAAGUGCUUCGACUGCGACCAGCGCGGCCCCACCUACACCGACAUGACGGUGGGCAGCUUCGUGUGCACCUCCUGCUCCGGCAUCCUGCGAGGUUUAAAUCCACCCCACAGGGUUAAAUCUAUCUCCAUGACCACAUUCACGCAACAGGAAAUAGAAUUUCUGCAGAAACAUGGAAAUGAAGUAUGUAAACAGAUUUGGCUAGGAUUAUUUGAUGAUCGAUCAUCAGCAAUUCCAGACUUCAGAGAUCCACAGAAAGUUAAGGAGUUUCUACAGGAAAAAUAUGAAAAGAAAAGAUGGUAUGUUCCUCCAGAACAAGCUAAGGUUGUGGCAUCAGUCCAUGCAUCUAUAUCAGGGUCCUCUGCUAGUAGUACAAGCAGCACACCUGAGGUGAAACCACUUAAAUCUCUCUUGGGAGAAUCUGCACCAGCACUGCACUUAAAUAAAGGCACACCUAGCCAAUCCCCUGUUAUCGUUAGGUCUCAAGGACAACAGCAGCAGGAAAAGAAACAAUUUGACCUCCUCAGUGACCUUGGCUCAGAUAUCUUUGCUGCUCCUGCUCCUCAAUCAACUGCUACAGCAAAUUUUGCUAACUUUGCACAUUUCAACAGUCAUGCAGCACAGAACUCUGCAAAUGCAGGUUUUGCAAACUUUGAUGCAUUUGGACAGUCUAGUGGUUCGAGUAAUUUUGGAGGUUUCCCCACAGCAAGUCAGUCUCCUUUUCAGCCCCAAAAUACAGCGUUCAGAACGCUUUCAUCUAGCUGCAGUUUUGGUGAAUUUACUUCAGCUUUCCCUCUCCAGGCUGUACACAGUGGAAGUGCUGGAUCAAUGAAUGCUAACUUUGCUCACUUUGAUAACUUCCCCAAAUCCUCCAGUGCUGAUUUUGGAGCCUUCAAUGCUUCUCAGAGCAACACAACAGCAACUGCUGCCAGUAAAAUUGCAGUGAAUAAACCGAAUCUCCAGUCAGCAGACAAAUAUGCAGCUCUUGCUAAUUUAGAUAAUAUCUUCAGCACGGGGCAAGGUGGUAGUGAGCAAGGAAGUGGCUUCGGCACUGUAGUUACAGCACCAUCAGGUCCUGCUGUGUCAGCCCCAAGUCAGCCAAGUGCAUCUUCAGACAAGUAUGCAGCUCUAGCAGAAUUAGACAGUGUGUUCAGCUCCACAGCAACCUCUAGUAAUGCAUAUACUUCCACCAGUAAUGUUAGCAGCAAUGCUUUUGGAACAGUACCAGUGGCUGCUACUGCACAGACACAGCCUGCGUCUUCGAGUGUGCCUGCUUCAUUUGGAGCAACACCUUCCACAAAUCCAUUUGUGGCUGCCCCUGUCGCUCCAGUGGCACCUUCAACAAACCCGUUCCAGACCAAUAGCAGAGGAGUAACAGGCCUCUCGGGAGCAAUGCACUCUCACAUAUUUCCUCAGGCUCAUUUUGCGGCGACAUUUGGCACAGCAUCCAUGAGCAUGCCUGCAGGAUUUGGAACUCCUGCAUCCUACAGUCUUCCUACUAGCUUCAGUGGCAAUUUCCAGCAGCCUGCCUUCCCAACCCAGGGAGCUUUCCCACAACAGACUGCUUUUGCUCAGCAACCAAAUGGUUUUGCUGCAUUUGGACAGGCAAAGCCUGUAGUAACCCCCUUUGGACAAGUUGCUGCUGUUGGAGUAUCUAGUAAUCCUUUUAUGGGAAGGCAGCAUGUGAUCUCCUAGAUGCAAUUCAAUGUUCAGAUGACAUGACAGUGAUAAGGCUGUUCAAAAUCAGACUGAGGCUGGUGCACCAACAGGACAGUUUCCAACAGGAAGCUCAUCAACCAAUCCUUUCUUAUAGCCUUAUAGACACUUUACCCAAAAGAACUCUUAUUUGGUCACAUAACAUCUCUGCGCCUCUUGCACUGUUGUCUUGUUUCACUGAUCUUAGCUUUAAACACAAGAGAAGUCUUCAAUAAAAAAACAAACAAACAAACCUGUGUUGUGUAUUAAAACCACCAGAUAAUAUGUGCAAAACGGAGGGCUGUGGUAACAUCCUUAACCUGUGAAUUGGCAGGAGAAAAGUAGCGGUAUCAUGUAUAUUAAAAUUGGCUAAUAAGUAAUUGCAGAUACCACAUUCGUUAUGCUGCAGUACUGUACAUAUUUUUUUCUUAGAAAAUAGCUAUUUGUGCAUAUCGGUAUUUGUAACUUUAACACAUUGUUAUGUGAAAAAUGUUACUGGGGAAAUAGAUCAGCCACUUUGAGGUGCUGUUGUAUCUCUUGGAAUUAAUUACCUACCAUCAUUUUAACCAUUGCUAUUGGAAGUCAUGAAGUCAAAUUGGAGGUUUUGUUCAUUCUCCAAAAUGUUUUCCAUUCCAGAAGAGCUCUCCUAUUUAUACAUGCCUACAUUCUCUAUAAUGUAGAGGGAUGCCUGUCUGCCUAAUAAAGCUGAUCAUGUUUUGCUACAGUUUGCAGGUGAAAAAAAAUAAAUAUUAGGGGGGAAAAAAA